rnacentral:rRNA from 1 species
GUGAGGUGGGAGCAAAACUCAAAAACUUGUCUCAGUUCGGAUUGUAGGCUGAAACUCGCCUACAUGAAGCUGGAGUUGCUAGUAAUCGCGAAUCAGCAUGUCGCGGUGAAUACGUUCCCGGGCCUUGUACACACCGCCCGUCACACCAUGAGAGUUGGCAAUACCCAACGUACGUGAUCUAACCCGCAAGGGAGGAAGCGUCCUAAGGUAGGGUCAGCGAUUGGGGUGAAGUCGUAACAAGGUACC